rnacentral:ncRNA from 1 species
UUUUCGGCGAGGAAGAGGAAUAGUAAGCGAUCGCGCAGACUGGAGAGAGCCGGCGGGUGGUGCGAGCCGGUGUUGCGUAUCGCCGAACUGGCCUCGGAGCCGGAUCCGUGAACCGAGAGUAAUGGAUCCCGGGAGGCCCACGAAAAGGGUCACAUGAAGGGUGCCGGAUGUCACGAGAAGAGUCCGGCGCUGAAUCAGGGUGGUACCACGGAGCGCGCAAGCCUUCGUCCCUGGC